rnacentral:rRNA from 1 species
ACACUCCUGCGGGAGGCAGCAGUGGGGAAUAUUGGACAAUGGGCGAAAGCCUGAUCCAGCAAUGCCGCGUGAGUGAUGAAGGCCUUAGGGUUGUACAGCUCUUUUACCCGGGAUGAUAAUGACAGUACCGGGAGAAUAAGCCCCGGCUAACUCCGUGCCAGCAGCCGCGGUAAUACGGAGGGGGCUAGCGUUGUUCGGAAUUACUGGGCGUAAAGCGCGCGUAGGCGGCUUUGUAAGUUAGAGGUGAAAGCCCGGAGCUCAACUUCGGAAUUGCCUUUAAGACUGCAUCGCUAGAAUCGUGGAGAGGUGAGUGGAAUUCCGAGUGUAGAGGUGAAAUUCGUAGAUAUUCGGAAGAACACCAGUGGCGAAGGCGACUCACUGGACACGUAUUGACGCUGAGGUGCGAAAGCGUGGGGAGCAAACAGGAUUAGAAACCCCAGUAGUCCCAUGA